AUGUAUACAGCUUCUGUUACGUUAAAAAUGAAAAUAUAAAGAAAGCUCGCACAGGCCCAAUGGCCAAAGUUAUCCUUUGUUUAGGAUACUGCUGGAGGCAAAACAACAUAACGCAUCUUUUACAUCAUAUUAUAUUUGUAUGGGUGUGUAAUGUAUGACCUCAAGACUGAAUAAAACAUUGGCCUUUGUUGCUCAUUGACACAACAUAGAAAUGCAGUGGAAAAUGCAUUUAAGAAUGCCACAAUUCAUUUGUCUCUGAAAUGCAUUUCACUAAAGCAAAUGUAUAUAAGAAAUUAUUUAUUUAUAUACUU